AUUGAACGCUGGCGGCAUGCCUUACACAUGCAAGUCGAACGGUAACAGGUCUUCGGAUGCUGACGAGUGGCGGACGGGUGAGUAAUACAUCGGAACGUGCCUAGUAGUGGGGGAUAGAGACACGAAAGAGGGGCGAAUACCGCAUGAGAUCUACAGAUGAAAGCAGGGGAUCGAGAGACCUUGGGCGACUAGAGCGGCCGAUGGCAGAUUAGGUAGUUGGUGGGAUAAAAGCUUACCAAGCCGACGAUCUGUAGCUGGUCUGAGAGGACGAUCAGCCACACUGGGACUGAGACACGGCCCAGACUCCUACGGGAGGCAGCAGUGGGGAAUUUUGGACAAUGGGCGAAAGCCUGAUCCAGCAAUGCCGCGUGCAGGAUGAAGGCCUUCGGGUUGUAAACUGCUUUUGUACGGAACGAAAAGCCCCGGGUUAAUACCCUGGGGUCAUGACGGUACCGUAAGAAUAAGCACCGGCUAACUACGUGCCAGCCGCCGCCGUAA
rnacentral:rRNA from 1 species